rnacentral:rRNA from 1 species
UACGAAGGGGGCUAGCGUUGUUCGGAAUUACUGGGCGUAAAGCGCACGUAGGCGGACUAUUAAGUCAGGGGUGAAAUCCCGGGGCUCAACCCCGGAACUGCCUUUGAUACUGGUAGUCUCGAGUCCGGAAGAGGUGAGUGGAAUUCCGAGUAUAGAGGUGAAAUUCGUAGAUAUUAGGAAGAACACCAGUGGCGAAGGCGGCUCACUGGCCCGGUACUGACGCUGAGGCGCGAAAGCGUGGGGAGCAAACAGG